AUGCCAGAGGGCGUUAAUGACACAGCGAUAGUGCUUAUUGCGAAAGGGAAGAACCCACAAAGUUUGAAAGAAUUCAGACUGAUCAGUCUCUGCAGUGUAAUAUAUAAAGUAAUCUCCAAAUGCCUCGUGAACCGACCACGGUCGUUCUUGGAUGAGCUAAUAUCGGAAACCCAGAGUGUGUUUAUACCCGGACGGAUGAUCACGGACAAUGCCAUUAUCGCCUUCUUGUGCUUCCAUAAAAUACAACAGAGUAAGAAUCCUCACAAUACUCACCGUGCGUACAAGUUAGAUCUGGCCAAAGCCUAUGACAGAGUUGACUGGGACUUUCUUGAAGGAGCUCUGGAGAAGGUGGGUUUCAGUGCUGUGUGGAUUGGUUGGAUCAUGAAGUGUGUGAAAUCUGUCCGAUUCCAAGUGAAAAUGAAUGGGGGAAUGUUAGAGGCCUUCAUUCCUACAAGAGGACUCAGACAGGGCGAUCCCUUGAGCCCAUAUUUGUUCCUCUUUAUUACUGAUGGGCUGGCUACAAUCUUUAACAGGGAGGUUCGAGGUGGAUGCAUCUCUCCUGUAAAAGUGGCUCGCAAUAGGCCUGGGAUCUCUAAUCUUCUUUUUGCAGAUGAUAGUUUGGUAUUUUUCAAAGCCACCAGAGAACAAGCUAGAGUGGUGAAAGGAGCUCUAUCCAUGUUCCAAAAAUGCACGGGGCAGCUCCUAAGUAGCAGUAAGUGCUCUAUCUUAUUUAGUGAGCAUUGUCCUAAUACACUUCAGCAGGAAAUUAAAGAUAUCCUUGCGUGUGAUACAGCUACUUUCGAAAGCAAAUACUUGGGUCUUCCAACCCCGAAAGGGAGAAUGAAAGAUGCAAAAUUCCAGCCCAUCAUGGACAAAUUUCUCAAAAAAAUGCAACGAUUGGGAUGGAAGACAUAUGUCCUUUGCUGCGAAGGAGGUGAAUGUGAAGUCGGUGGUCCAGGCUCUUCCGACAUAUGCCAUGGGGGUUUUCAAAUUCUCGGUGGGUUUUUGUGA
rnacentral:rRNA from 1 species